rnacentral:rRNA from 1 species
UACGUAGGGUGCAAGCGUUGUCCGGAAUUAUUGGGCGUAAAGAGCUCGUAGGCGGUUUGUUGCGUCGGCUGUGAAAUCCCGAGGCUCAACCUCGGGUCUGCAGUCGAUACGAGCAAACUAGAGUGUUGCAGGGGAGACUGGAAUUCCUGGUGUAGCGGUGAAAUGCGCAGAUAUCAGGAGGAACGCCGGUGGCGAAGGCGGGUCUCUGGGCAACAACUGACGCUGAGGAGCGAAAGCGUGGGGAGCAAACAGG